CCGUUCGCACGAAUUCUUGCGCCAGCACCGCGGUUCAGCCCAAAAGACUCCCGAGCCUGCUCCGUUGGUGCGCGCGCGGACCUCCCCCCCACCUCCACGCCGGCCCAUUCAGCCAGGAUUAGCCUAUCAGAAGAGGCGAGGAGGAAAGCUGUCUUGUGAACGAAGUCGCAAACGUAAUGGCCGGGCACUUCCUGCUGCUCGGGCCGGUGGAAACGCUUUGACGCUCUGGGUCCCCGUCCCCCCCCCCCGAUUUGAUCCCCAGCUGUCGGUUGGAAAUCAGUUGGACUGAAAUCGCAAGUGCCCGCCGUAAAAAAGGGAUUUGGAGUAGGUGAAUAAGGACUCGGAGCCUGGUUCAUCCGUAUUUUCGUAGCCCCCCGCCCGCCUGUACUCUACUCACAGAAGCGAUGCGGUCCCGUCCCCCCGUCGACCUUGAUGCUACGUGAUUCUGCCGUUCCAGAAAGGAAGAACUGGGUCUGUCAACAAACGAAGCUUUGCUAUGAAUUCUAUCUGGAUGUUUUUUUAAAAAAAACUUAUCUUAAGGAGGACUUGGAUAGGGACAAAAGGAAGACUUUUGGGAAGUUCCCCCUUCCACCAUCACUUGUAGUAUUCACCUGUAUUAUUAUGGUAUCUAUCUGGUGAUUAAAAAGCUAAAUAGAUAUUUACAGACUGAAGAAUUAUGAAAUUAGAGUAUUGCCUCUGUAAUGAAUUUACUAUGGCAAAAUUUAAUUUCAUUCACGUAAAAGUCCAUGUAUGGGGGGUGGGGGAAGGGGGGAAACUAAAUAGAUAUUAAAGGAACAAUCAGGGUCAUGUGUAACCUUUGUACCACUUUUCAGGCUUGUCCUAAUGUCUUUUUAUUGCAUGUUGUCACAAUUAGGUGAGAGAACCACUUUUUCUAGCAGGAUAGGUUUACUAGGCAAUACUGCUGCUAAACACUGCUUUUCAACCUGGAUGUUAUUGACCAUUUUUCCACCAGUGUUUUACCUUCUAGAGUUACUUGAAAAUCUUUGUGAAAAUAAAAAAAGACUGUCUUUAUUACUGGAACAACAGCAUUGCAAGAUUCAUAGAUGAUCGUAUAAGAUGUUGUAAAUCCUUAGUGAAGAAUUUGUCAUUUUGCGGUCACUGGAUGAAGUUUAUUCAUUAAGAUUUUUAUCUUCAAGGUGCUCAGAAGAACAAAGGUUUUACACAAUACCUCCUCAGUUAACAGAGCAAAAUAAUGUAUAACCUGCAGAAACUCUUAAGAAAUGGGGAUAUGUGGGCAGUAUUUCUGGAUGCCUCUUUGGUGAUGCACGUGUAAAAAUCUGUUGAGAUUGAUGGCAUUCAAACGUAUAUGAAAUGAAGUUGAAUAUUAAUGUCUGAAGUUGAUUAUUAGUUCCUACCUCCCAUCCGAGUUGAAAAAAUAAAUUGCAUGUUUUGACUAAUCCAGUAAAUAAUUUACAUGGAACACUCCCUUUCCCCCAAAUAUUAAAGAAGCUUGCUUUAUCCAGAAUAAGAAAUCAGAAUUGUAUUAAAGUUUUUAGCAGUUUCCUUCUCAAGUAGGAAAUGGAAGGAUUAUGAACCUACAGUUACUAAAUAUAAAUAUUUUUAAUAAAUUGUCAUUCAUAUUACUUUGCUUAUUUAUUUUUUAUAUUAUGCCUUGUAUUUGGAGCUUAGUUUAGUUAGCUAUGAUAGAGAUACCUAACAAGCUUUUGCUGUAUCCGAAUCCCCUAGUUUCAGUUAAAUUAAAUUAAAAACCUGGCAGAAGGGGAGGAAUGAUAAAAAAGCCAAACCCUACACUUUCUAACCUUUUGCAGAAAAUUGUUUUUGCUUCACAUGUCAUCCCACUUUCUCCUGUUGUGUUCCUGUUGCAACCCUGAUUUCUGUAGUUUCUCAAUGUCCACCCCACUUCCUAUCUUCUUGCAUUUCAGGCUCCCCAUUCUCUUUCUCUCCAGCUUCUGGACAAUGGGGAGUGCUUUCCAUUUUUUUCUUUUUAGAUGCUUAAUUUUUUGUAUGGGCUAUUUAAUAAAAGAGCGCUGCCAAAAGUGGAGCCAUAUAUGCCACCUUGCUUCUGAGCUUCUGCAUACUACUGAUGAUGCAUUUGCUUUCUGCUGCUGUCUCCUCUGCCAAUUUCUUGUAAAUGUGCUGCAGAGUCCUGGCCCUGUGCCCUCUUGUAGCCACUGGAUACAUAAGUUCAUCCUAUGCUUCUUUUUUCAGAGGUUACCUCUGGGUUUCAUCAGAUUGCUCCUUCAGAUGGAUGCAGCCAUCUGUUCACAAUUUUGUGAUAAUUCAGUCUGAUGAUGGUUACAUCCUGCUAUUCGAUUAUUAUUCUUCCUAAUGAACUAAAUAGCUAAAUGAUUUGUAGUUACUUAUACAUCAAUAUCUCUGUGCUUAUAUUUGUCACACAUUUGAUUUAUUUUCCACUUUUCAAGAGAACUGCUUCCAAUGUUAUAUAUGAGUAGAAGUAGAAUAAACUUGCAGAUGGAGUGGAUGGCUGAUUAGAACA